rnacentral:rRNA from 1 species
CCUACGGGUGGCAGCAGUGAGGAAUAUUCGUCAAUGGGCGCGAGCCUGAACCAGCCAAGUAGCGUGAAGGAUGACUGCCCUACGGGUUGUAAACUUCUUUUAUAAAGGAGUACAUUGAUGCACGUGUGCCUUUUUGUAUGUACUUUAUGUAUAAGGAUCGGCUAACUCCGUGCCAGCAGCCGCGGUAAUACGGUGGAUCCGAGCGGUACGCGGAUUGAUUGGGUUUAAAGGGAGCGUAGAUGGGUUGUUAAGUCAGUUGUGAAAGUUUGCGGCUCAAACGUAAAAUUGCAAUUGAUACUGGCAGUCUUGAGUACAGUUGAGGUAGGUGGAAUUCGAGGUGUAGCGGUGAAAUGCGUAGAGAUCACGAAGAACUCCGAUUGCGAAGGCAGCUUACUAGUCUGCAACUGACAUUGAUGCUCGAAAGUGUGGGUAUCAAACAGGAUUAGAUACCCGAGUAGUC